ensembl:lncRNA
CUCAUAAAGAAGGGCUUUUGUCUAAAUGUUGUACUGAUAGAGAUUAUACCAAGGAUGGUAAUCAGAAUGGGAUGGGGUAGAUUUGCAAACACACUUGAGCUUUCCAGAGCAUGACACACGCAGAAUGCACAUGGUCGGAACCAGAAGGGACACAGUAAGCUUGUCUGAUCCCAGUGAAGACAGUUCCCAGCUGCUGUCCAUCAGCUUCUGAAAUUUUUCAGUGAUAUUACGAUGGUUUGUACCAGGGCAGAGCCUCUUCAGAACUCAAAAGAAAUACAGCUGUGAAGAUUCUGUUUCCAUCUGACAUGCAACCCUCCCAGCUGAAAGAGUUUUACUUCCUUCACCGGAUAGUCAAAACAUCAGAUACGUGAGGAAAAGAGGAAACUGGUCUGGAUAUUAGUACAGAAAAGAUCGCUCAGAAACUGAUAUCAUCCUGCUGCUCUGUAUGUAGGGGUUCCCCGCACUACAGAGUGAAUAAGAUGAAAAGAGGCCACUCUAGUUUUACAAUACAUACCAUUUUAUAUUUUAAUACACAGGAAAAAAAAUGUAUUAAACAAGCUUUCUGUUUCUCUGAAUAAAAUGUAAAAACUUCUUCUAUCUCCUUGUCUGUUUGUCAAAGGAAGAUGUCACAGAGGAAAUCAACAUAACUGGAUAAAUAGGAUUCAUCUCUGACCAUGUUGGUAAUAUCAUCCUUGGGUCUCUAGUAUAGCCCUUCUCUGCCAUACUACUGCCAGCAUACUCAGC